rnacentral:rRNA from 1 species
AUAAUGGGUCAGCGACUUAUAUUCUGUAGCAAGGUUAACCGAAUAGGGGAGCCGAAGGGAAACCGAGUCUUAACUGGGCGUUAAGUUGCAGGGUAUAGACCCGAAACCCGGUGAUCUAGCCAUGGGCAGGUUGAAGGUUGGGUAACACUAACUGGAGGACCGAACCGACUAAUGUUGAAAAAUUAGCGGAUGACUUGUGGCUGGGGGUGAAAGGCCAAUCAAACCGGGAGAUAGCUGGUUCUCCCCGAAAGCUAUUUAGGUAGCGCCUCGUGAAUUCAUCUCCGGGGGUAGAGCACUGUUUCGGCAAGGGGGUCAUCCCGACUUACCAACCCGAUGCAAACUGCGAAUACCGGAGAAUGUUAUCACGGGAGACACACGGCGGGUGCUAACGUCCGUCGUGAAGAGGGAAACAACCCAGACCGCCAGCUAAGGUCCCAAAGUCAUGGUUAAGUGGGAAACGAUGUGGGAAGGCCCAGACAGCCAGGAUGUUGGCUUAGAAGCAGCCAUCAUUUAAAGAAAGCGUAAUAGCUCACUGGUCGAGUCGGCCUGCGCGGAAGAUGUAACGGGGCUAAACCAUGCACCGAAGCUGCGGCAGCGACGCUUAUGCGUUGUUGGGUAGGGGAGCGUUCUGUAAGCCUGUGAAGGUGUACUGUGAGGUAUGCUGGAGGUAUCAGAAGUGCGAAUGCUGACAUAAGUAACGAUAAAGCGGGUGAAAAGCCCGCUCGCCGGAAGACCAAGGGUUCCUGUCCAACGUUAAUCGGGGCAGGGUGAGUCGACCCCUAAGGCGAGGCCGAAAGGCGUAGUCGAUGGGAAACAGGUUAAUAUUCCUGUACUUGGUGUUACUGCGAAGGGGGGACGGAGAAGGCUAUGUUGGCCGGGCGACGGUUGUCCCGGUUUAAGCGUGUAGGCUGGUUUUCCAGGCAAAUCCGGAAAAUCAAGGCUGAGGCGUGAUGACGAGGCACUACGGUGCUGAAGCAACAAAUGCCCUGCUUCCAGGAAAAGCCUCUAAGCAUCAGGUAACAUCAAAUCGUACCCCAAACCGACACAGGUGGUCAGGUAGAGAAUACCAAGGCGCUUGAGAGAACUCGGGUGAAGGAACUAGGCAAAAUGGUGCCGUAACUUCGGGAGAAGGCACGCUGAUAUGUAGGUGAAGUCCCUCGCGGAUGGAGCUGAAAUCAGUCGAAGAUACCAGCUGGCUGCAACUGUUUAUUAAAAACACAGCACUGUGCAAACACGAAAGUGGACGUAUACGGUGUGACGCCUGCCCGGUGCCGGAAGGUUAAUUGAUGGGGUCAGCGCAAGCGAAGCUCUUGAUCGAAGCCCCGGUAAACGGCGGCCGUAACUAUAACGGUCCUAAGGUAGCGAAAUUCCUUGUCGGGUAAGUUCCGACCUGCACGAAUGGCGUAAUGAUGGCCAGGCUGUCUCCACCCGAGACUCAGUGAAAUUGAACUCGCUGUGAAGAUGCAGUGUACCCGCGGCAAGACGGAAAGACCCCGUGAACCUUUACUAUAGCUUGACACUGAACAUUGAGCCUUGAUGUGUAGGAUAGGUGGGAGGCUUUGAAGUGUGGACGCCAGUCUGCAUGGAGCCGACCUUGAAAUACCACCCUUUAAUGUUUGAUGUUCUAACGUUGACCCGUAAUCCGGGUUGCGGACAGUGUCUGGUGGGUAGUUUGACUGGGGCGGUCUCCUCCUAAAGAGUAACGGAGGAGCACGAAGGUUGGCUAAUCCUGGUCGGACAUCAGGAGGUUAGUGCAAUGGCAUAAGCCAGCUUGACUGCGAGCGUGACGGCGCGAGCAGGUGCGAAAGCAGGUCAUAGUGAUCCGGUGGUUCUGAAUGGAAGGGCCAUCGCUCAACGGAUAAAAGGUACUCCGGGGAUAACAGGCUGAUACCGCCCAAGAGUUCAUAUCGACGGCGGUGUUUGGCACCUCGAUGUCGGCUCAUCACAUCCUGGGGCUGAAGUAGGUCCCAAGGGUAUGGCUGUUCGCCAUUUAAAGUGGUACGCGAGCUGGGUUUAGAACGUCGUGAGACAGUUCGGUCCCUAUCUGCCGUGGGCGCUGGAGAACUGAGGGGGGCUGCUCCUAGUACGAGAGGACCGGAGUGGACGCAUCACUGGUGUUCGGGUUGUCAUGCCAAUGGCACUGCCCGGUAGCUAAAUGCGGAAGAGAUAAGUGCUGAAAGCAUCUAAGCACGAAACUUGCCCCGAGAUGAGUUCUCCCUGACUCCUUGAGAGUCCUGAAGGAACGUUGAAGACGACGACGUUGAUAGGCCGGGUGUGUAAGCGCAGCGAUGCGUUGAGCUAACCGGUACUAAUGAACCGUGAGGCUUAACCUUACAACGCCGAAGGUGUUU